UCUUGUUUGUUUACUUAUGAAACCAAGUCAAGCUGUUUCACUGUGUAAAAGAGAGACUAACUGUCAGAACAGAGCAGAGUUUUUAAAGUUGAGAAUAAGUCACUCCUGUCUCCUUCCUGCUCUGCAUUUGCACUCUUCUUCUAUGAAUUCUCUCCGUGUGACUCUGUGUGCAAAUUGUUCGGCCACCGGCAGCAGCUUUGUCUCAGUAUUAGAUGGAUUUCCCCUGUAAUAGUCUGCUGAAUGCAUAACGUCCUGGGACAAAGUGUAUAUUUGUGUUGUGUUGGCUCCUCCAGCCGUCACAUCAUCCUCUUCCUCUCCUAUUAUAUCCGACAGUGUUUCUGUGACUGGCAUGAGCAGAGGAGCGAGCAGACAACUGAUGUUCAAUGAAGCGCUCCACUUCAAAGUUUCUGUGCUGCAGGAUUAGCAGAGGAAGGAGAUUACUGUAAUUGGGGACUGUAGAGGUGGAACAAAAGGUUCUUCUGUCUGUCAGAGAGCACAAGUUUUCAACUGUCCCAGCAUCACCAGCAGCCUGACACUGUGAAAUACCUCAGCAUCUACUCAAUGGACCGGCACAAUAUUUGGUCGGGCCGUGAUUGGCUGGCUGCAUCGGACAUGUUUCUGUGAUGCAACGCAAGUCAAGCUUGAGCUUCGCAAGGGAAGAACAUAUAAUAAAGCCCAGGAAGGCGGAAACGGAUGAACGUGAUUAAAGGGACGUGACGACCUGUAAGGGACGAUCUAAGAGGUAAAGGACCCGCAAGGUGGCAAUGGUCAUUUCAUUGGUCAAC